rnacentral:rRNA from 1 species
UACGUAGGGCGCAAGCGUUGUCCGGAAUUAUUGGGCGUAAAGAGCUCGUAGGCGGUCUGUCGCGUCCGUUGUGAAAACUCGAGGCUCAACCUCGGGCUUGCAGUGGAUACGGGCAGACUAGAGUGCGGUAGGGGAGACUGGAAUUCCUGGUGUAGCGGUGGAAUGCGCAGAUAGUCAGGAGGAACACCGAUGGCGAAGGCAGGUCUCUGGGCCGCAAGCUGACGCUGGAGGAGCGAAAGCAUGGGGAGCGAACAGG